rfam:Puccinia sorghi strain RO10H11247 Scaffold_1686, whole genome shotgun sequence.
GCCCGGCUAGCUCAGUUGGUAGAGCAUUCGACUCUUACGGAGUUCUUCGAGGGCAUAGUCAUCGAAUUGUCGUGGGUUCGAGCCCCACGUUGGGCG